rnacentral:ncRNA from 1 species
AAGCGGGGGUACCGGUUUUCCGGUUGAGAAAGACCCAUUGAACCUGAUACGGUCAAUACCGUCGUAGGGAGGCUUA